UGGGGAAUUUUUGGACAAUGGGCGAAAGCCUGAUCCAGCAAUGCCGCGUGUGUGAAGAAGGCCUUCGGGUUGUAAAGCACUUUUGUCCGGAAAGAAAUCCUUGGCUCUAAUACAGUCGGGGGAUGACGGUACCGGAAGAAUAAGCACCGGCUAACUACGUGCCAGCAGCCGCGGUAAUACGUAGGGUGCAAGCGUUAAUCGGAAUUACUGGGCGUAAAGCGUGCGCAGGCGGUUUGCUAAGACCGAUGUGAAAUCCCCGGGCUCAACCUGGGAACUGCAUUGGUGACUGGCAGGGCUAGAGUAUGGCAGAGGGGGGUAGAAUUCCACGUGUAGCGGUGAAAAUGCGUAGAGAUGUGGAGGAAUACCGAUGGCGAAGGCAGCCCCCUGGGGCCAAUACUGACGCUCAUGCACGAAAGCGUGGGGGAGCAAACAGGAUUAGAUACCCUGGUAGUCCCACGCCCUAAAACGAUGUCAACUAGUUGUUGGGGAUUCAUUUCCUUAGUAACGUAGCUAACGCGUGAAGUUGACCGCCUGGGGAGUACGGUCGCAAGAUUAAAACUCAAAGGAAUUGACGGGGUCAUAGCUGUUUCCU
rnacentral:rRNA from 1 species